GGGGUUGANCUUGAUUNACCUUGCGGCGUGCCUAAUACAUGCAAGUCGAGCGAACCAAUAAGAAGCUUGCUUUUUGUUGGUUAGCGGCGGACGGGUGAGUAACACGUGGGUAACCUGCCUGUAAGACCGGGAUAACUCCGGGAAACCGGUGCUAAUACCGGAUAGAUUAUCUUUCCGCCUGGAGAGAUAAGGAAAGAUGGCUUUUGCCAUCACUUACAGAUGGGCCCGCGGCGCAUUAGCUAGUUGGUGAGGUAACGGCUCACCAAGGCGACGAUGCGUAGCCGACCUGAGAGGGUGAUCGGCCACACUGGGACUGAGACACGGCCCAGACUCCUACGGGAGGCAGCAGUAGGGAAUCUUCCCGCAAUGGACGAAAGUCUUGACGGAGCAACCGCCCGCGUGAGNGAAGAAAGGUCUUCGGAUCGUAAAGCUUCUGGUUGNUAGGGGGAAGAANCAAGUUUUCGGAAGGAAAAUGGCCCGGUACCCUUGACCGGUACCUUGACCAAGAAAAGCCCCCGGUUAAC
rnacentral:rRNA from 1 species